AGGGUCUGGGGUGGGGCAUGAGACGCUAAGCGAGCCCUCUCCUGCCCGCCCCUGAACGAAUUUGGAGGAACUGGUUUACAACUCCAGCGAGCUGCAGAUUCAGGCCCCGGUGCUGCCCUGGGAUCGUCCCCACCUCCGAGGCAGGGUGGGAGUAGGGCAACCUCAGCCUCCCCGUCGCUGCCUGGAGCCUGGUCUCCUGGGCGCAGGUGAGAAGUUCUGUGAGCCCCCAUGCUCAGGAAGCCUGGCUGUGACUCGAGAGAGGCCCUGGGAGAUGCCCACCCACCCGCCCACAGAGGGGCAUUGCUCACUCAAAGACACACAGUACCAAGGGCAGCCAGGACUGGAGCCCCGUCCACAUACAGACAGCGCCCUGGAUGGCACAUGGCUUGCCCUGCCCCGAAGAUCUCUCACCCCUGGCGUUCUUCUUCCUGCGCAUAGAGGCUCGGACAAGGUCAGAGCCGAAGUGGGCAUUGUGGUGCCGCUGGGAGCGUGCUUCCUGGAACCAGUCCCCUGUCAGGAUCUUCAGCUGCCCAGGGUCUGCCAGUGAGGCCCGGAGCUUGCUGGAGGAAGGGGGAGGGUGUGGCUGUCAUGACUCACUCAAGCAACAUUCCACCACCCACAUGGUACCAGGCUUGGGACCAGGGGCCAGGGACCCAACAGCAAAUCAGACUUGAUCUGUGCUGUGGAGGAGCUCGGGCUGCUGGGGAGACCGAGUCCAGAAGAGACAAGUACACUAUAGUGAACCGGAUGAUGUGAUAGAAAUAAGAAGAGCCAGCUCUGCCUGGGAGAAUCCGGGAGGGUUUCCCAGAGGAGGUGACAUUUGAAUUGCC